UCGGUCCCUAUUUCAUGUACGAGUUUGAUAAAUGAAGAAUCUGCAUUUUCCAUGAGAUGGCUUUGCUGGGCCAUACGUCAUCAUCCCCUGUCCGCCAUCAUCGACGCACAGCAUGUGGUCGAGUUCAUUCCCUCUACUCGGUGCUCCAGAUGAUACGAGAUCAUGACGAUGCAUAGAUGAUGCCACCUCCACUGUUGCCAUGGUGACCGUCAUCCCCAUCGGUGAGAUUGCAGAUGAGAUGCUGAUGAUAAGACGCUGCUGCUGCUGCUGUUUGCUUUGAGGGUGUCCUUUUCAGCAUGAAUGUCCACUUUAUUUGACAUUACGAGAUUUCCUGCGAUGUUAUCCUACUCAUCCUAUCACCCAGCAGAUGUAAUCGAGUCAAACAAUAAGGAUCCUCAUGACCUGAAGCAUUACCGACGCCAUUUUGAAUCAUCUGAUGCGAUAUCUUCACAGGGCUUUGUGCGCAUAGGCACAAUGAACUCAAAAUUAGCAGAGAAAUUAUGCGAAGAAACGGGGAAUAUGCUUUUAAGUCACCCAUUAUCCAUCGAUCCUGCGUAUAUUCAUUAGAGCCUAUUCAGUGUCAUAUCAUGAGUCAUUAUUGUAAUAAGACACCCAACGCCUCCAUAAAUCCUUAAAGAGAAAUUACGAGUUUUAAAUAGAACGGCAAGAUUGGAUAUAAUUGAUGUGCUCUAUGCUGAGAAAGUAGGGUUGUAUUGUGCUAGAAGUAGGAAAUUUCUCCCAUCAAAGUUUGUUAUUAGCUUGCUAUGAACGUCCGGUACCAAAGAGCAAAAUUGUACUCGUACCGAAUGGAUCAUGGAUGGAGAAAGAUAACACAAUAUUUAUGCCUGUAUGCAUCGCUUGCACAAAUCCGACAUUCAGUCGUUCAGAAAACGAGUCAAUUUAUCAUUCAGUUGUUGAAAAUAUGAGUUAGGUUAUAUGCACCAGUGUUAAAUAUGCUUUAUAAAGCAACUUCAGAUCUAGGAUUCAUCUUUUAAGAAGGAUGGGAAGGGAUGUUAGAGCCUAAGCUAGUGGUUGGUAUGGUAACGUGCAUCCCUGAUGUACACCAACCUCGCUGUGGGAGAUACCUUUCUCGCACAGACGGUGAUGAGAUGUCUUAUACCCCCUAGUGGAAUAAUGAAUUAUUACUGAAUUGAGUAGUGAUUGUGGUCAACAUAUAUGCAUUGUAGUUUACUGUUUGGAGGCUGCAUGCAUGUCCAUGUAUAUCAAGACAAUUGACGUAUCUCCCAAAAGCAUGUAUGACGCUUGUUCUAUCAGCAUACAUCCCCACCCCCAGGAUGUAUCCAGCGUUGACCAUGAUGCAUUUUGAUAGCUCCUGAAUAUUGUGACCAUUGAUGUUGGUGACGUAGCUUAAAACCCACUUCGUUUCUAUCAUGAUUAUACACGGUUAUCACAUCAACAUAAACUCGUUCUCAUCCAUACUCGUUAUUAUACGAUGUGUCUGCUAUAUACCGGCCCAGUCCUCUGUGAUUUGGUAUUUUAAAAUUUGUCUGUCAAGGUGAUUUCACAUACAUGUUCAUGUUAUUUUGGUAAUUACUUUGAUACACGUCCCAUUAUGAUAAUGGGGAAUUGCUUAUAAAACAAUCUACAAUAAAUGAGUAAUGAUCCAAACGGGGAUCAGUGAUAUGAAUUGAACACGUGAUUAAUUCAUGAUUGGCGAAAGUGAAUGAUAUUCAUAGUUCACAAUGAUUACCCCAUGAGGGGGUAAUUGAAUUCCGAUAGGAAUAAUUGAUUUGCAGGUAUAGGAAUUGAUCAUGCCUGCAGCUAAUGGGAAAUAUAACGUAAAUACAUUGGAAUUUGAUCGUGUCAUUUUGUUGAAACUACGCCGAAAUUAUUAUGCUUUUCAUCAUGUUCGGGGUACAAUAUUUUGAGUUCGAUAUCAUUCAAUGAGAACGUGUCCGUUAUUCAAAUCUGUAACAUUUAUAUUUCAUUGUUAAACUCAAAGGGGAAGUUCA
rnacentral:lncRNA from 1 species